rnacentral:rRNA from 1 species
UACGUAGGGUGCGAGCGUUAAUCGGAAUUACUGGGCGUAAAGCGUGCGCAGGCGGUCUGUUAAGACCGAUGUGAAAUCCCCGGGCUUAACCUGGGAACUGCAUUGGUGACUGGCAGGCUUUGAGUGUGGCAGAGGGAGGUAGAAUUCCACGUGUAGCAGUGAAAUGCGUAGAGAUGUGGAGGAAUACCGAUGGCGAAGGCGGCAUCCUGGACCGGCAUUGACGCUGAGGCGCGAAAGCCAGGGGAGCAAACGGG